UACAGAGGUCUCAACCGUUGUUCGGAUUCAUUGGGCGUAAAGGGUGCGUAGGCGGUCGCGUAAGUCAGGUGUGAAAUCUCAGGGCUCAACCCUGAAACUGCACUUGAUACUGCGUGGCUCGGGUACUGGAGAGGAGACUGGAAUUUACGGUGUAGCAGUGAAAUGCGUAGAGAUCGUAAGGAAGACCAGUGGCGAAGGCGAGUUUCUGGACGGUAACUGACGCUGAGGCACGAAGGCCAGGGGAGCAAACGGG
rnacentral:rRNA from 1 species